ACGUAGGACGCAAGCGUUAUCCGGAAUUACUGGGCGUAAAGGGCGUGCAGGCGGUUUCCUAAGUCAGGCGUGAAAGCCACGGGCUAAACCUGGGGAGGACGUUUGAUACUGGGGGACUAGAGUGUGGUAGAGGGGUGUAGAAUUCCGGGUGUAGUGGUGAAAUGCGUAGAUAUCCGGAGGAAUACCAGUGGCGAAGGCGGCACCCUGGGCCAUAACUGACGCUAAGACGCGAAAGCAUGGGUAGCGAACGG
rnacentral:rRNA from 1 species